rnacentral:rRNA from 1 species
UACGUAGGGUGCAAGCGUUUAAUCGGAAUUACUGGGCGUAAAGCGUGCGCAGGCGGUUUUGUAAGUCUGUCGUGAAAUCCCCGGGCUCAACCUGGGAAUUGCGAUGGAGACUGCAAGGCUAGAAUCUGGCAGAGGGGGGGACUGGAAUUCUCGGUGUGAGCAGUGAAAUGCGUAGAUAGUCGGGAGGAACGACCAGUGGC